rnacentral:rRNA from 1 species
UACGGAGGGUGCAAGCGUUAUCCGGAUUCACUGGGUUUAAAGGGUGCGUAGGUGGGCAGUUAAGUCAGUGGUGAAAUCUCCGGGCUCAACCCGGGAACUGCCAUUGAUACUAUCUGUCUUGAAUAUCGUGGAGGUAAGCGGAAUAUGUUAUGUAGCGGUGAAAUGCUUAGAUAUGACAUAGAACACCAAUUGCGAAGGCAGCUUACUACCCGAAUAUUGACACUGAGGCACGAAAGCGUGGGGAUCAAACAGG